UCUGGGAUGGAUUAUGGCAGU
rnacentral:miRNA from 1 species